UUUUGUUUGUAUAGAAAGUCGGACCUGCCCAGUGAAAGAGUUUAACGGCCGCGGUAUAUUGACCGUGCAAAGGUAGCAUAAUCAUUAGUUUUUCAAUAGAAGGCUGGCAUGAAAGGUUUAACGAAAUAUAGACUAUCUUAUUUUUAGAUUUAUAAUUUAACUUUUAGGUUAAAAGGCUUAAAUUUUAUUGGUGGACGAGAAGACCCUAUAGAGCUUUACAUUAUUUAUUUUAAUAAUAUAUUUUUAAUAAUUAUAUAUUAUUUUAAUUGUUGUUUUGUUGGGGUGGCAAAUAAUACUUAAUUAACUUUAUUUAUUUUAUUUACAUGGAUAUGUGGUUAUUUGAACCAGUAAUAUUGAUUAUUAGAUUAAGUUACCUUAGGGAUAACAGCGUAAUUUUCUUUCAGAGAUCAAAUUUACAAGAAGGCUUGCGACCUCGAUGUUGGAUUAAGAUUAUAAUUAGGUGCAGUAACUUAAUUAAUGG
rnacentral:rRNA from 1 species